rnacentral:rRNA from 1 species
UACGAAGGGGACUAGCGUUGUUCGGAAUCACUGGGCGUAAAGCGCACGUAGGCGGAUUUGUAAGUCAGGGGUGAAAUCCCGGGGCUCAACCUCGGAACUGCCUUUGAUACUGCGAAUCUCGAGUCCGAGAGAGGUGAGUGGAACUGCGAGUGUAGAGGUGAAAUUCGUAGAUAUUCGCAAGAACACCAGUGGCGAAGGCGGCUCACUGGCUCGGUACUGACGCUGAGGUGCGAAAGCGUGGGGAGCAAACAGG